UCCUGGCUCGAGGACGAACGCUGGCGGCAUGCCUAACACAUGCAAGUCGAACUUUCUUAGUGGCGAACGGGUGAGUAACGCGUAGGCAACCUGCCCUUUAGUUGGGGACAACAUCCCGAAAGGGGUGCUAAUACCGAAUGUGAUCGCUCUUCCGCAUGGAAGAGCGAUGAAAGAUGGCCUCUAUUUAUAAGCUAUCGCUGAAAGAUGGCCUCGCGUCUGAUUAGCUGGUUGGCGGGGUAACGGCCCACCAAGGCGACGAUCAGUAGCCGGUCUGAGAGGAUGAACGGCCACACUGGAACUGAGACACGGUCCAGACUCCUACGGGAGGCAGCAGUGGGGAAUCUUCCGCAAUGGGCGAAAGCCUGACGGAGCAAUGCCGCGUGAGUGAUGAAGGAAUUCGUUCCGUAAAGCUCUUUUGUUUAUGACGAAUGUGCAGACUGUGAAUAAUGGUUUGUAAUGACGGUAGUAAACGAAUAAGCCACGGCUAACUACGUG
rnacentral:rRNA from 1 species